rnacentral:rRNA from 1 species
AUUGAACGCUGGCGGCAUGCCUUACACAUGCAAGUCGAACGGUAACAGGUCUUCGGAUGCUGACGAGUGGCGAACGGGUGAGUAAUACAUCGGAACGUGCCUAGUAGUGGGGGAUAACUACUCGAAAGAGUGGCUAAUACCGCAUGAGAUCUACGGAUGAAAGCAGGGGAUCGCAAGGCCUUGUGCUACUAGAGCGGCCGAUGGCAGAUUAGGUAGUUGGUGGGAUAAAAGCUUACCAAGCCGACGAUCUGUAGCUGGUCUGAGAGGACGAUCAGCCGCAGUGGGACUGAGACACGGCCCAGCACCCUGCGGGGGGCAGAAGUGGGGAAUGUUGGACAAUGGGCGCAAGCCUGAUCCAGCAAUGCCGCGGGCAGGAUGAAGGCCUUCGGGUUGUAACCUGCUUCUGUACGGAACGAAAACCCCUGGGUUAAUACCCGGGGGUCAUGACGGUACCGUAAGAAUAAGCACCGGCUAACUCCGUGCCAGCCGCCGAAGUAA